UACGGGGGGAGCAAGCGUUGUUCGGAUUUACUGGGCGUAAAGCGCGCGCAGGCGGAUUGGUCAGUCCGGGGUGAAAUCUCACGGCUCAACUGUGAGCGGUCCCCGGAUACUGCCAGUCUCGAGGUGUCUAGAGGAGAGCGGAAUUCCCGGUGUAGUGGUGGAAUGCGUAGAUAUCGGGAAGAACACCAGUGGCGAAAGCGGCUCUCUGGGGACCACCUGACGCUGAGGCGCGAAAGCGUGGGGAGCGAACAGG
rnacentral:rRNA from 1 species